rnacentral:rRNA from 1 species
CGGGUUGUAAACCUCUUUCAGCAGGGAAGAAGCGCAAGUGACGGUACCUGCAGAAGAAGCACCGGCUAACUACGUGCCAGCAGCCGCGGUAAUACGUAGGGUGCGAGCGUUGUCCGGAAUUAUUGGGCGUAAAGAGCUCGUAGGCGGCCUGUCGCGUCGGAUGUGAAAGCCCGGGGCUUAACCCCGGGUCUGCAUUCGAUACGGGCAGGCUAGAGUGUGGUAGGGGAGAUCGGAAUUCCUGGUGUAGCGGUGAAAUGCGCAGAUAUCAGGAGGAACACCGGUGGCGAAGGCGGAUCUCUGGGCCAUUACUGACGCUGAGGAGCGAAAGCGUGGGGAGCGAACAGGAUUAGAUACCCUGGUAGUCCACGCCGUAAACGUUGGGAACUAGGUGUUGGCGACAUUCCACGUCGUCGGUGCCGCAGCUAACGCAUUAAGUUCCCCGCCUGGGGAGUACGGCCGCAAGGCUAAAACUCAAAGGAAUUGACGGGGGGCCCGCACAAGCAGCGGAGCAUGUGGCUUAAUUCGACGCAACGCGAAGAACCUUACCAAGGCUUGACAUAUGCCGGAAACACCUGGA